rnacentral:rRNA from 1 species
AACGUAGGGGGCAAGCGUUGCCCGGAUUCACUGGGCGUAAAGCGGGUGUAGGCGGUCCUGUAAGUCGGAUGUGAAAUCCUGCGGCUCAACCGCGGAACUGCAUCCGAUACUGGAGGACUUGAGGACGGUAGAGGUCGGUGGAAUUCCCGGUGUAGCGGUGAAAUGCGCAGAGAUCGGGAGGAACACCCGUAGCGAAGGCGGCACUCUGGGCCGGUACUGACGCUGAGGAGCGAAAGCGUGGGGAGCAAACAGG